rnacentral:rRNA from 1 species
GCGGGUCNUUAUGGCCCAACCUCCCACCCGGACUAUUGUACUUUGUGGCUUCGGCGGGCCCGCCAGCGUUGCUGGCCGCCGGGGGGCGACUCGCCCCCGGGCCCGUGCCCGCCGGAGACCCCAACAUGAACCCUGUUCUGAAAGCUUGCAGUCUGAGUGUGAUUCUUUGCAAUCAGUUAAAACUUUCAACAAUGGAUCUCUUGGUUCCGGCAUCGAUGAAGAACGCAGCGAAAUGCGAUAACUAAUGUGAAUUGCAGAAUUCAGUGAAUCAUCGAGUCUUUGUAACGCACAUUGCGCCCCCUGGUAUUCCGGGGGGCAUGCCUGUCCGAGCGUCAUUGCUGCCCUCAAGCCCGGCUUGUGCUGUUGGGCCGUCGUCCCCCGGCUCCCGGGGGACGGGCCCGAAAGGCAGCGGCGGCACCGCGUCCGGUCCUCGAGCGUAGGGGCUUCGUCUUCCGCUCCGUAGGCCCGGC